rnacentral:rRNA from 1 species
UUAGGAAUCUUGCGCAAUGGGCGAAAGCCUGACGCAGCAACGCCGCGUGGGGGAUGAAGGCCCUCGGGUUGUAAACCCCUUUCAGUCGGGACGAAAAUGACGGUACCGACAGAAGAAGCCCCGGCCAACUACGUGCCAGCAGCCGCGGUGACACGUAGGGGGCAAGCGUUGUCCGGAUUUAUUGGGCGUAAAGGGCUCGUAGGCGGUUCGACAAGUCGGGUGUGAAACCUCCAGGCUCAACCUGGAGUCGCCGCUCGAAACUGUUGUGACUAGAGUCCGGUAGAGGAGCAUGGAAUUUGUGGUGUAGCGGUGGAAUGCGCAGAUAUCACAAGGAACACCAGUAGCGAAGGCGAUGCUCUGGGCCGGUACUGACGCUGAGGAGCGAAAGCAUGGGGAGCGA